GAGGAAGGCGGUGAUGGUUGGGUUAUGGUUGGUGUGGUGGUAUCACCCCCUGGAGAUGUAGGAUUAACAACUGGUAUGUCACCCUGUCCUCCCUGAGCUAUAACAUCUAGAGCUGAAACCAAACCAAUCAUCAGAUUAAAAGAAACAGGUCAGUUCGUUGCAAUAACAGUAACUCUUAAGAAACUUUUAAGAAUGUGCAAGAAAAACGGAGCAGCUUAUACUCUAAUGUUGUAAACAGACAACAAAGAGAUUACGUGAAGUAAUAAGAAGGCAUAGAAGCAUGAUCUGGAAGGAACGAGGAGCUAUACGGUGCGGCAUUUCUUUCCGUUCCUUGUUGUAGUUGAAGCUUUUGAAAGAGAGAAAAAGAGAGAGACUUGUCAGGUAGUC
rnacentral:lncRNA from 1 species